ACGGAGGGGGCUAGCGUUGUUCGGAAUCACUGGGCGUAAAGGGCGUGUAGGCGGCGAAUUUAGUUAGGCGUGAAAGCCCCGGGCUCAACCUGGGAACUGCGCUUAAUACUGAUUUGCUAGAGACCGGGAGAGGCGAGUGGAAUAUCCAGUGUAGAGGUGAAAUUCGUAGAUAUUGGAUGGAACACCGAUGGCGAAGGCAGCUCGCUGGACCGGUACUGACGCUGAGGCGCGAAAGCGUGGGGAGCAAACAGG
rnacentral:rRNA from 1 species